GACGAACGCUGGCGGCGUGCUUAACACAUGCAAGUCGAGCGGAGCGGCGCACGGGUGAGUAACGCGUGAGUAACUGCCCCCCUCUCUGGGAUAACAGUUGGAAACGGCUGCGAAUACCGGAUAGUGGGGGAUGACUCUGGUCCUAUCGGCUUGUUGGUUGGGUAGUGGCCUACCAAGGCGACGACGGGUAGCCGGCCUGAGAGGGCGACCGGCCACAUGGGGCUGAGAUACGGCGCAAGCUCGUACGGGGUGCAGCAGUGGGGAAUAUUGCGAAAUGGGGGAAACCUGAGUGCAGAAACGCCGCGUGCGGAAUGACGGCCUUCGGGUUGUAAACCGCUUUCAGCCAUGACGCGGUAGUGGCAGAAGAAGCACCGGCUAACUACGUGCCAGCAGCCGCGGUAAUUC
rnacentral:rRNA from 1 species